ACGGAAGGCAGCAGUGAGGAAUAUUGGUCAAUGGGCGGAAGCCUGAACCAGCCAAGUCGCGUGAAGGAUGAAGGUAUUAUGUAUUGUAAACUUCUUUAGCAGCAGAGUAAUAAGGGGGUCGAGACCUCCGAUGCAAGUAUGCUGAGAAUAAGGAUCGGCUAACUCCGUGCCAGCAGCCGCGGUAAUACGGAGGAUCCGAGCGUUAUCCGGAUUUAUUGGGUUUAAAGGGUGCGCAGGCGGCCUGUUAAGUCAGCGGUUAAAUCGUGGAGCUCAACUCCAUCGCGCCGUUGAUACUGAUGGGCUUGAUUGCGGUUGAGGUUGGCGGAAUUCGCCGUGUAGCGGUGAAAUGCAUAGAUAUGACGAAGAACUCCGAUUGGGAAGCCAGCUUACUGUAGCGCCACUGACGCUGAUGCUCGAAAGCGUGGGUAUCGAACAGGAUUAGAUACCCUGGUA
rnacentral:rRNA from 1 species